GGGUUUUUUAUUUUAUACUUCAAAUCUUGAAUUUAUUUUUUAUAUUUUUUUAAAUGUUUAUUUUUUUGAAUGUUUGAUUUAAAAAAAUAUAAAAAAUAAAAUAGAUAUUGACAUGGAUUAAACAAAGAUAUAUAUUAUUCUAUGUUGCAUAAACAAAUUGGCAAAGUAG
rnacentral:misc_RNA from 1 species